CAACCCCUCAAGCCCCGGCUGCUUGGUGUUGGGGCGUUAUCCGCAGCGCUGUCACAGCAGCUGCGGGCCCCUAAUUUCAGUGGCGGACCCGCCGAGGCCCCGAGUGCAGUAGUGUAUCUCCUCGCUCCAGGGCGCCGCGGCGGGCUCUCCUGCCGUAAAACCCCACUGUAUUUUAA
rnacentral:misc_RNA from 1 species